ensembl:lncRNA
GCUGUUUGUCUGCCUGCGUGAGAUACUGUCUCCCCAACUGGAGAGAGGGGGGGGUUAGGGGGUAGCUGUUUGUCUGCCUGCGUGAGAUACUGUCUCCCCAACUGGAGAGAGGGGGGGGUUAGGGGGUAGCUGUUUGUCUGCCUGCGUGAGAAACUGUCUCCCAACCGGAGAGAGGGGGUUACGGGGGUAGCUGUUUGUCUGCCUGCGUGAGAUACUGUAUCCCCAACUGGAGAGAGGGGGGUUAGGGGGUAGCUGUUUGUCUGCCUUGGUGAGAUACUGUCUUCCCAACUGGAGAGAGGGGGUUAGGGGGUAGCUGUUUGUCUGCCUGCGUGAGAUACUG